AGUGUGUAUCCAUAGACUUUCUCAUUCUUUCUUCUUAAUUCAAUAUCCAUGUCUUUCAAAGCGAGAGAUGGGGAAGUUGAUUCUGUUACCGGCGGUCUCUAAUUCGCUUGGUGCAGGUCGGGAACUGAUUAGCUUCGCUUGCAUAUGUACGUAUAUGUUUUCUCCUUAUUAUGCCAGAUGGCAAGUCUUGAUUGGUUGAGAUCGGACAGAAGCGAAUUGGAUCCCGCCUUGCAUCAACUGAAUCGGAGACCGCGGUGAAGGGUUGCAUGGAUCUCGCGUUUUAUUUCCUUUUACUGUUCAGAUCUCAGGUUGAGGCAUUAUUUACACAUUUGUUUUUGUGAUGAAGCUGUGGAUUAUAGCUGAAAAGUGAAAAGCUUCUGAUUCAUUACUUGAAAAUGGAAGCUUUAAUUAUACUUUUUGGGCGUUUGUUGAUCUUUUAUUAUUUGGCAUUAGUAGAUCUAAUUAUUACAACUUCUAAUUAGUCUUUCAUUAUUAUGCUGGUGUUAGCCCCUUAAUUCAUAUAAUAUAAAUUGACUAUAUUUAUAGCGCAAAAGAUUUUAUUUUUUACAUGAGUCGAUAAGAGGGAUAACUUGUUCUCAAUAGCUAGAAUAUUAGAUCUAAUUAAAUAAAAGGUUUAAUUGAAUAAUGAGUUGAAAAUUUUUUGAAGUAGGUGUAGAAGCUAAUGAUUUUGCUCGAACGUUGUUGCUCUAAGGCCCUGUUCAGGCAAUACUAGAAUAGCUGUUAGCUUUUCUAGUGGUUGGUAGCCAAAUAACAUUUUGUGAUCCACUCUUUAGAUAGUGUUCUGACAUAGUGAAUACACUAAAUCUACCUCAAAAAUUACUGCUGAGGGCCUGAGCAGCAGUUUGAAUUAUUUGACAUAUUUUGCAAAAUGUUUGUAGUCUUGGUUAUUUUUGGUGAUUUGUAGUUGGACUGUACAUCAGUGUCUGAUCACUUUCUAUUUGGUUCUGGCAAGUAAUGUUUGAAUUUCAGAAGCUGGUGCUUAGAAUUUCCCUUGAUUUUAUUGUUGAGUUGGUGUACUACAGUCGUUGUGUUACUAGUAUCUUGCAUUGCUAGUCUCACUUGUGUUCUUCAACUCCCUGGUUUUUCUGUAUAUUCAUAUGAUAAAACCUUUAUAUGCAGACAUGUAUUGACAGUGUUUUUACAUUCUGCCUGGCACUCCUGGCUUAUGUUAUCAAUUCUCUGUCAAAAUUCAUCGAGUUUAUGAUGAUCUUUUUGUGAUAUUGAAGUGUAAUUAGAGCAAUAGGAUGUCAUGAAGUAAGUUCACAUUACUGUGUUUGGAAGCAUCUAAACAAAUCAGUGGAAGCACAUUUAGUUUUAGCAAAAAUGAUAAUUGGAUAUAUCUAGUUUUAGUUUUAUAGUUCCAUCCUCAACUUAAAUUGGUAAUUCUUCUGUUUAUAACUCAUACACAUAUGCAUACAAACUUAAACUCCAUGACAAAAGGCUGACUUCAACAAAUGCUCAUUUAUGUGGUGCAUAGUAAAAAUAGUGAGCUUAAUGCUCCUCAUGUGUUAUCCUAUUGUCUUUUGAUGCCUUGAAUAUGUGCUAUAUCUAUUUUUUUGGCGUUUAUCUCUUCUCUCCAUCCUGUUGUAACUUCUUAAGUUUUGAGAGAAUGUGCAUACAUGAAAAAAGAAUCUCAUGCACGUGCUGCAUGUGCAGUUCUCUUUCUUAUCUUCGCCUUCUUAGUUCUGCAGCCAUGUGCCCUAUAACGGCCAUUAUUGAGCUAUUUCUGAUUCACUUUUAGAUGGUAGUCUUUGCCAUGAGAUUGAUGCAUGGAUUUUGACCGCGGUUGCAGUUGGGGCGACAUAUGCGGGUCUCUGUCACAGGUAAUGGAAACAGGCCUGUAAAGGCUAAUCGCUAUGCAAAUUUUUUUAAAAAAAUUGCAAAAUUCAUGAAAUGGAAAGAUAUUCAAGAUAUGAAUAUAAAUAAGAUACCCAAUCAAAUAAUAAGUAUUAAUACAUCAAAUAAAGACAUUUAACUCAUCAUUGUUAGUCAUUUUAAACAAUAAUUAAUUUAUAGCUUAAAUAAUAAUAUAAAUAAUAUAGAUAGUAAAUUUGACAAAAAGAACUGGGCAUCUAACAUUAUUUUCUUUAAUGAAUAAGUAAAAAAUGCUAAAGACAAAGAUAGAUUACUCAAAUUUUAUAAGGUAUAAAUACAUGGAAUUAGAAAGAUGGUUGAUCAUCUUAGCUUAAGGGAAAAGAAGUGAGAUAUUUGUAGAUAGAUAGUUGACUUCGAUGGAAAUUUGAGAAAAGUAAGAUAUAAUAAUAUAAAACUUCCCAAUUUAGGAAUACAAUAUGAGUUGUUGCCCUCAUAUGGGCUUAGAAUUAUAGGUAACAAAACUGUUAUCAUAAUUUAACAGUAAAUAACGACCAUUACAUGAAUGAGUUUUCUCUGCCUUUAAAUAACGGGUGUAAUAGUAAUGGGAGGCUCAAAAACCUGUUAAGUAACUGCUGUUAUGUAAACCAAUGGCUUUUGUUUAAAACCGUGGCUUGAUGUGUUCUACUAUUGUUAUUUUUGUGUCCUCUCAAUAGGUUGUUGUGGAAUAAGGUAAUUUGAAUUAAUGCGGUAUGUUCUCCUGAGUUUGGUAUGUUGAUGGGUUAACUUUUCCUUUUUGUAUUACAAAAUUUCUUCAGAUGGUGUUUCAAUGUUCCAUGUUGCAUGGCCUCUUUACUUGUGGCAUGUUGAUUGCCAAAACGAUUGUGAUUCUUAUUAUUUGUUCUGCAAAAAUGGAACAAACAGUAUUUGGUCACGGUCCAGUUAAGUACCAUGGAAUGGCUGUUUGAUGUGUUAUAUUUCCAGUUUUGCCCUUGUUAUAAGUUGCCCGUGUUAUAGAAGAUGAUCUACUGGCUUUUCAGCACAUCUAUGUUCUCUUAUCAAUGGACUCCUUAAUUUGAGGUACAGUUUUAUGUAGAUGGUAAUAUUCUAUUUCUGCUUCAGAAUCUCUUCUUGUGUUAUAAAGAGUGUGUUUUACUGUGUCAGUUAGGAGAGUGAUAUCCUGAAUUUGCAUAGGGAAGCUGGUGAUAGAAUUUUAUUAUUUUAGCUGUGAAGAACCAGCUUAAAUUUUCUCAUACCUCAAUUAAGCUGAGCUUAUUAUUCAUCUUGUCUUUCUCAUGACACUAAAAAGUCCACGUGAAUAUGCACCAGCGCAUAAGCCACCAGCAUCUUAUGUAUGGUUUUAGCUAAGGCUGUAAAUGUCAUUAAAACUAGGCACUAAAAAUAUUUUGUUGUGUUGAAGACGAUGGAAGGAAAAACUAUUUUCCAUAGUAAUAGUAAGGCCAUUGUGCAGAAUGAAAUCCCCUCUUGUAUGGGCUGCACUUGACUUGAAUGGAUAUAAUUUUUCUGUGCCUACCUGAGAAUUUAUAAAUGAAUUUAAUAAAAUUCCAAGAUACUCCAAAUUUCAGUAGAAAAGGGUUCCAAUGUGGCAACGUAUAAUUUUUGUUCUCAUUCUGAUAUGCAUGCAUGUCUUAUGUGUAUUCUUUGACCAUUGUUUAUCUUGAAUAGUGUGAUUGAAUUACAGAGGUCUGAACUCGACAAAGAAGUUAAAGAGCAUCUGCGGCAUUUUGGAGUGUAUUGAUCAUUCUGGUAGGGUCAGAGUUGAAACUGUAAUUUGAAUUGUAAAUCGCUUGAAUAUCAGAAUUCAUUAUUCUGGACAAAAAAAAAAUGGCAAAUGAGUAAUUGUGAUCAUUAAAGUAUUCUGAUGGAAUGAUGAUCGCGCUAGUGUUCUUUUCUAA